rnacentral:rRNA from 1 species
GUUGUGCCCUUGAGGCGUGGCUUCCGGAGCUAACGCGUUAAGUCGACCGCCUGGGGAGUACGGCCGCAAGGUUAAAACUCAAAUGAAUUGACGGGGGCCCGCACAAGCGGUGGAGCAUGUGGUUUAAUUCGAUGCAACGCGAAGAACCUUACCUGGUCUUGACAUCCACGGAAGUUUUCAGAGAUGAGAAUGUGCCUUCGGGAACCGUGAGACAGGUGCUGCAUGGCUGUCGUCAGCUCGUGUUGUGAAAUGUUGGGUUAAGUCCCGCAACGAGCGCAACCCUUAUCCUUUGUUGCCAGCGGUCCGGCCGGGAACUCAAAGGAGACUGCCAGUGA